CCAGCUUCAAUAGCGUAUAUUAAUGUUGCUGCAGUUAAAAAGCUCGUAGUCGAAUCUCUGUCUCGUCAAACUCGAACUAGUUCCUUUUAGGGCUGGCCUUCGAACUGUUUGCGAGACAUCCUUCUGGUUAGUGUUUCUACCCUUGAUUGGGCUGGUCACACGAUCCAGAUCUUUUACUGUGAACAAAUGGGAGUGUUUAAAGCAGGUCUUUAAUCACGCCUGAACCGUUUAGCAUGGAAUAAUAAGAUAAAACUUGGUUUUAUUUUGUUGGCAUUGUAAAACGAAGUAAUGAUCAAUAGGGAUAGUUGGGGGUGUCCAUAUUCAGGGGGUAGCGGUGAAAUGCGAUGAUCCUCUGAAGAUGAACUAAUGCGAAAGCACUCACCAAGGAUAUCUUCU
rnacentral:rRNA from 1 species